GUUAAAUUCUUUCCCUAUGGGAAGUACCUAAUUCCAGAAUGAAACUAACUCUCUAAUCCUAAAUUUAUUCCUGGUAUGACUACAGACUACUGAAAUAAAGGUUAAAAGUCCAGGUUUUUAAGAGGUGUAUGUAUACUGCCUAAUUAAGCAACACUAAAAAAAAAAAAA